rnacentral:misc_RNA from 1 species
AACGCACCUUGCGCCCUUUGGUAUUCCGAAGGGCAUGCCUGUUUGAGUGUCAUGAAAUCUCACCUAAGGGUUUCCUUAGUGUGGACGUGGUCGUUGCCUUUGGCUCGACUCAAAUGACUUCGCGGUGGACGCGUCGUAGGCGUAAUAAGUUUCGUCUACUAAGUGGUCGCUGCUCAUAACCCCAUCUUAUGCUCUGACCUCAAAUCAGGUAGGACUACCCGCUGAACUUAA